GGGACUCAAUAUGGCGGCGCGCGCUCGGCCGCUUGACCCCGGUGUCCCCUAAAGCGGGUAAGGGAUGAAACUUUCUCAUCUCGAGUCAUGCUGUUUUCGGAAACGUAGGGAUGCGUUUUAAUCCCUAUGCGCCACCCGCGGGUCGGCCCUCACCUGCGAGUCGGCUGACCGUGAAAGACCCUCACUUGCUGUGCACCGGAAGGGCUUGGUCUUCUUGGCCUCUGUUUCCCGGAAGUGGUUUCCCUCCACCUCCUCAGGAGGGCCGGCCUUCCCUAAGGGCGGAGUCUAGGGCUUCUUUGGGACUGAAUAUGCAUUAGCUUUUGGAAGUCCAGCUAUGAUUUUCCCCUAAGCAUUGUUACAAAGGCCGGACUGCGGCUCUGGGCACCGUUCACAUCCUCGGCCGCCUUUGGCUUUGUGACCUUGGGCCGGUUGUAUAAGCUCUCUGAGCUUCCCAGGUGACUUCUCUGCAAAGUGGGCUGGUAACGCCCGAGUUGGUGCUAAAUCCUAAAGUUCAUGCUGCGAACCGGUCCCUCAACAGAUCAGCCUCUGUUUGGUCUGCUGGCAGGCCCCACGGGCUCCUGAGAGACGUGAGAAGCAGCUUUGUAUGGGAGCCACCUCUGCUCGCGUUUCCACCCAGAAUCAAAGGACUGACCAUUCUUUCAAUCCCUAAGCGGUGUCUUUUCUAUCUAAUCCUAAUAACCAAGCCUGGAGGAAUUGUAGACUUUCUGGUUAAAGGUUCAACAGGUCUCCUCGUUUAAGGAUAGAGUUAAGUCUCAGUGAAGCUACAGAGGAGAAUCUGAAAAAUGCAAAUGUUACUACCUUAACCGAAAGAGGGAGGAGGGGGCGCUUUCCUAAAUGGCCUUUACCUUGGACCUUUUCUUUCUCCUGGCAUUUGGGCUGCCAAGGAUCUUGCUUCUGCCCCACCAACACACUGAAAGCAAGAGCUCUUGACGUGAUGACUAAGGAAUAGAAUUUGGUUUUCAUUCGGAGACAGCUGAUUCUGAAGCCAUCUUAAAGCCUAAGCAUAGCACAACUGCAUUCAUGAUUCUAUGAAUUCUUCCUACCAUUGGAACUUAGGGAAGGGGAGAGGAAGUGUGCAUCUAGGAAAUGUGGAAGGACACGCUCUUCCUUCUUUCAUCCUUCCGCUGCCUUCUAACUCUGUGGUCGAGUGUGGUCUUCCCAGGAGAGCAUCUUCCAGGAAACUUAUUAGAAAGGAAGAACCCCAGGCCUCAUUUCACAUCUGAAGCAGAGUCUGCCUUGUAGCCGACUCCUCAGCCAUUGCUAGGCAUGCUAAAGUUGACGAGGCCGUGGUUUAACUCCUGGGGUGGUCUGGUUUAAAGUGAUGAGAUGGCAUCAAAGAUGACGGAAGGACAGAGUCAGCAGAGCCAGAAUUUGGGGCAGUGGAGGCAGAGCACCUAUUUCCUGCAUUUGGGCACUGCCAGCAGGUUGAUUCAGAAGAUGGGUGAAAAAUUUGUUCCUGGGGUAGCAGGAGGAGCAUCACGACUUUGGAAUCGUUUGCUUAAAAGAAGGAUGAGCUUGGCUGUUCAUACCAUACAUCCCGGAGGUCUUCAGCAAGGUGAGGUUCCUCUGACCAAGAAGCCGGCUGCCUAGAUGCGCUAAGCACAGCUCCCUCGCAUAUUCUGGUGUCAUGCUCCAUCAUAAGUGACUAGACAUAGUUCCAGUGCUACCCAGCAGGAUCUCAUUGCUCAUGCAUUCCAAAGGCAAGAGUCUGCAUCUCAAAAAAUCAAAUACCUGGGAAUACACCUGACCAAGGAGAUUCAGCUCAGAAAAAGCUGGUGUUCAUUUAGUGGGUUCUCUUAAUCGUCAACGUUGGAUGACCAGUAAAUCUGCUCAAUAAGUCGUCUGGCAGCAGGAGGGUCCGCCUCUUCCACUCUUGGUGACGUUUCACAUUCUGGGAACCUCCUCCCGUCACCCCACAAUGGCGUUUUGUGUCUUGAUCCCCGUGGAAGAGCCCGGCGCACACACAGCUUAGCCUCUUCAUUCCUGGAGCCGUUCUACGUAUGCGAGACUGAAGCCAGGACAGAGGUCUUCAUCCUGGGUGUGCUUAUUCUUCACACCCUUCCCGAUGGUGGAGGUGAAGGUGCUGGUGGAUGAUAUAUCAGAAGCGACACCCCGGAACAGAGACCGCCUGUGACUGGAGCCCCAUUCCUGGCUGAACUGUACUGGGAAGAGCAGACCUGAGCAAGAUCUCUGAGACUUGGCCUCUGGCUUGAAGGUUGCACCACGGUGAGACUGAGAAGGCGCUUCCUGGAGGCCCCCAUUGACUCUGAAAGUUUCCAGUCUGGAAGAAAGAGAGCAGGUCGCUGCAAGCACUGAGGAUGAAAAGCCUCUGGAAACAAGGAACCGCCAGGCUUGGUCAGUGCCCCACCUGGAGAACAAGACCAGGUAGGUGACAGAAAUGAAGGGCAUGUCUGCUGAAUGAAUGUAUAGACAAAAUCAGUCGGUGACCUUAUGGGAAAAGGAAUCUCCCAGGUUUUCCUCUGCAGCAGUUUACGGACUCGUGCUUUGGAACAGCGUUCUUCUCGCUCACCUGCAGAGAUGCAGUGUGCCGGCCGCACCUCGGCGUGGGGCCUGCUGUAACCUCCCAGACUCUGCUUGGAAAUUGGACUCUAGCCUGGGAACCUCCAUAUGCCGCAGGAGUGGCCCUAGAAAAGGCAAAAAGACCAAAAAAAAAAAAAAAAUGCAUGGAGCCGCCACGGGUGCUGUUAGCCACUUGCAUGUGAUGGCUUCAUGUUUGAUGAGCUCAAGGCUUUUCAAGAGUAAAUACCAUCCCUUAAUAUAAUGUUUCUCAUAUGAGACGGAGGCAUCUAAGUGCAGUAACGCCUAUCAGGGAAUCAGCCGCUAAACCUGUGUUGGAAAAUCAAAAACAUUGAUGCUUCAGCCCUUGAUUAGGGCACUCAAAUUUUUAAAAUUCAAAAAGUUGCAGUUCCAUGUUUGCUUACUUGAAUAUUAUGGACGAUUAUUGAAAUUCAUAAAAGAAACUUUUACUGCCUCAUAGUACUUUCUUUUUAAUAGUAUUUUCUUCUUUUUAUUAUUUUCUGUAAUAAAAUUUAAAUUCUUGAAUAUUAUAGCCAAAUGACAUGCUCCUAAGAGCUACUUAAAUUUUUUAGGGAAUGCGCAGUCUUAAGAACCUUUAUCAGAACAGAAAAUAUAUUUGCUCAAUGUCUAUGACCCAGACAAAAGAAACAUAAUGAAAUUUCAUAAAAUUAAACUUAUUUAAUAAUUUAGUAAUACUUUUAUCUAUGUAUAUACUCGUGCCUUGCAACAAUUUAACAGUACAGAAAUUUGCUGGCACGAAUGCUUGGAUUUGCUCAUGACAAAUUCAGGUGAAAAUCAACCUUAUUUUUGAAAGUUUAAGAUUUGGCAGGUCCGCUGCUGGGCAUGGCACACGGAUAAAUCGUCGUUUCAGAGAAGGCCUCUGUGUUUGCUCAAGCGCAGCGGUGUUUUUUAAGUGAAGGCUGCUCCUGUUCUCUCCUGUCAAAAUCCAAGAUUCUAGGAGCCAGGUGAUUUCAGGACACACGGUGGUAAGUCCAUCGCAGGCCACUUUAGGAGCUGCAAAAAAAUGGUCAGAGGCCCUGGACGUCCAUGCUGAGACCUCCUGUCCAGAGCGGCAAACCCGCCAGCCUUAACAACGUGUAAUGUAUCUUCAUGCCCAGGAAAGCCUUGGCUCGCCGCUGAGGGUCUGUGCUUACAGACGGGGUUCCCUAAGCAGAGGCAUCGAUGCGGCCACCGCAUUACUUUCUGUGCUAUGUGCCCUCUGCUUUUCGAGCGAGUGUGAGGCCUGGCAGAGAGCAAGUCCUGGCUGCUGUUCAGCAGGCGCAUCAGGGCCACUGCGGGCAUUUAGAAGACGGAACACAACACCGAGUUCCAAGACCCACCAUGAAAACCCUGGCAAGGCGUUACUGAAAAUGUCUUCGUUUGGCUUGUGUGGAUGCACAAGGAAGCCCUUCCUUUACCAUGUUUGAUGCUGAUCAGUGGCUCUUUUCUCGUAGAAUCAAUACUGAGGAGGAAAACCGAUUAUCGUGAGGCCCGUGAGAAGAACCGUACCUUUAUCCGCCAUUGGUGAGCUAGGAAAACAUCUUCCAUGGUCCGUACUCAACGUAUAGGCACGUUUGUAUGUGAGUCUGUGUGUGCGUCUGUAUUUCUAUGUACGUACCCACAGACACGCAUCAGUAUGCAGACCCACAUACAUACAGACCUGUUUCAAAACAUACACAUGGGUAUGCCCUCAAGAAGAAAACUCUAUUAAACCAAAUAUUUCUGGGUUGCAAGCCGCCCCAACGCAGCCUGCAGUACCAUAUACUGACAGCGUGAUCUGACUUGACUUUGUGAUACACGUGGGUAGGGUGGAGUCUGGGAGUCUUCAAACCAGAUGCCAGAGAUCUGAAUGAGUAAAGAAGCGUUCAUCAAUAGCUGUCCACCUCUCCCAACCAGAGGCCCUCCUCCCUCUGCACAUUGCGGAGAAGAUUCGGCCGUACAAAGAGCAUGCCUGGAUUAAGAACAGGCCAAGCUCAAUAAAGAUUUGGAAAUACUCAAAUUGCUGGGAUGCUCGCCUCUCAAGCCAGAGGUUUUGUUACGUUUUAGGGACCUGUGAGCAGCAAAACAGAACACACCAGCAGCUGUUUUCCACGGGAAGGAAGAAAAAGGAAAAUAGAAAUAAGACAAUGUCACAGGACAAUCAGUCUCAUAGAAUGAAAUAUGGACGCGUAUGCCCCAGAGAAGAAUUUUCAUUUCGCCCAGGCAACGUCCGGAGAGCAGCGUACAUCACGACUCCCUGCUGUUCUGGGUAUCUUGCCUAAGUCACUGUUCGCAGGCAGGCGGUCUUCCUUGCCUUUGUGGAGAACGAAGCUUAAGCACUUGCAGAGGAGCAUUUCAUGUGUCAAUUCAUGGUAUAUUUCAGGUUACAAAUGCUCUGUUACAAUGAUCACACCUGAUAGCAACUGUCUUAAAUAUGUGAAUAAACAGGGCCUGAAAAACUGUA
rnacentral:lncRNA from 9 species